GGCGGCUGCAGCUAUCUGGUUUAUACUUAGACAUGCAAGUCUUUCGAGAGAUGGCGAACCGCUCAGUAACACGUAGCUAACCUUCCUUAAGAUUGAGAAUAACUUCGGGAAACUGAGGAUAAUGCUCAAUAGAAGAUGAUCUCUGGAACGAGUUAUCUUUGAAACGUAAGGUCUUAGGAUGGGGCUGCGGCUGAUUAGGUAGUUGGCGGGGUAAAUGCCCACCAAGCCGAUUAUCAGUAAGGGCUCUUAGCGGAGAGGCCCUGAGAAGGAAUCUUAGACACUAUUCCUAGCCCUACGGGGUGCAGCAGUUAAGGAUUUUUUGCAAUGCGCGCAAGCGUGACAGAGCGAGCCAGAGUGUUUUUCAAUAUGAAAAACUUUUACUCACUGUAAAAAGGUGGGAGAAUAAGGACUGGGUAAGACUGGUGCCAGCCGCCGCGGUAAUCCCAGCAGUCCAAGUUGCAGCCACAAUUAUUGGGUCUAAAACAUCCGUAGCUUGUUGUACAAGUCUCUUGUGAAAUCCUAUGUCUUAAAUAUAGGGCGUGCAGGAGAUACUGUAUUACUAGAGAUCGGGAGACGUAAGAAGUACAAUCAAGGUAGUAGUAAAAUAUGUUGAUCUUGAUUGGACUAACAAUAGCGAAGGCAUCUUACGAGCACGAAUCUGACAGUGAGGGAUGAAGGCUAGGGGCGCGAAAAGGAUUAGAUACCCUUGUAGUCCUAGCAGUAAACACUGUACACUAAACAUCGGUAUCUCCUCGAGAGACAUCGGUGCUGUAGGGAAGCCGUAGAGUGUACUACCUGGGGAGUAUAGUCGCAAGACCGAAACUUAAAGGAAUUGGCGGGGGAGCACUACAACAGGUGACGCGUGCGGUUCAAUUAGAGUCUACACCGUGAACCUCACCAGGAGCGACAGCAGAAUGAAGGUCAGUCUGAAGGGCUUACCUGACACGCUAAGAGGAGUUGCAUGGCCGACGUCAGCCUGUGCCGUGAGGUGACCUGUUAAAUCAGGUAACAGGCGAGACCCGCAUGUAUAGUUGCCACCAAAAGUGGGUUCACUAUACAGACUGCCGUGGUAACACGGAGGAAGGUGCGGGCUACGUUAGGUGAGUACGGCCCGAAUCCCCUGGGCUACACGCGCGCGUCAAUGCUGCAUUCAAUGGGAUGCAACUCUGAAAAGAGAAGCUAAUCCUUAAUAUCCAGCUCAGUUUAGAUUGAAGAUUGAAACCCAUCUUCAUGACACCGGAAUCUGUAGUAAUCGUUCUUCAUCAGAGAACGUUGAAUAUGUCCCUGCUCCUUGCACACACUGCCCGUCAAACCAACCGAGUUUUGCAUUGUUGAGGAUCAUUUGACACGAACUUUUGUAAGACAAGGUAGGUUAAGUCGUCACAAGGU
rnacentral:rRNA from 1 species